rnacentral:rRNA from 1 species
GACGAACGCUGGCGGCGUGCUUAACACAUGCAAGUCGAACAGUGACGGAGAGCUUGCUCUCCUGAUCAGUGGCGAACGGGUGAGUAACACGUGGGCAACCUGCCCCAGACUUCGGGAUAACGCUUCGAAAGAGGUGCUAAUACCGGAUACGAACUCCUUGGGCAUCCUUGGAGUUGGAAAGUUUUUCGGUCUGGGAUGGGCCCGCGGCCUAUCAGCUUGUUGGUGAGGUAACGGCUCACCAAGGCGACGACGGGUAGCCGGCCUGAGAGGGCGACCGGCCACACUGGGACUGAGACACGGCCCAGACUCCUACGGGAGGCAGCAGUGGGGAAUAUUGCGCAAUGGGCGAAAGCCUGACGCAGCAACGCCGCGUGAGGGAUGACGGCCUUCGGGUUGUAAACCUCUUUCAGCAGGGAAGAAGCGAAAGUGACGGUACCUGCAGAAGAAGCACCGGCUAACUACGUGCCAGCAGCCGCGGUAAUAC